GCCUCGUCCCACUGCUCCAUAUUAAUGAGCCCCCUCCUCCCCCCGCAGUGUCCAGCCGUGCAGUUCGGGGCUGCCGCCGUACCUGAGCGCAGCGCGACGAGGCCGCCGCCGCUCGGUGCCAGCCAUGGCCGCCUGCUCCCCCACGCUCCGGCUCUGGCUCUUGCUCCAAGCCUCCUGCCUCUGCCUGGCCCAAAUCCGAGGGCCGCCAGGAGAACCCGGCCCACGAGGGCCCCCCGGUCCCCCAGGAGUGCCAGGAGCGGAUGGCAUUGACGGUGACAAAGGCUCUGCUGGAGCCCCCGGGUCCCCGGGUGUCAAGGGGGAGCCUGGAGCCCCCGGUCCAGACGGGCCCACAGGGAAGCCGGGCAUCGACGUGAGUACUGACCCCCCGUCCCCUCUGCGGCGUCCCCGGCCGCAGCCCCCGCGGCGCAGCAGGGUCUCAGCAAACUCCUC
rnacentral:lncRNA from 1 species